rnacentral:misc_RNA from 1 species
AAUAGUCUUCAACUAUGAAAUUGAUCAUAAGCCUCAGAGAGCCUUUAUCACAAUAAAUCAUAUUGCACCAUCAGUUAGUUGCUGAAAACUUCCACACCAAUCUUAAGAGGAAAGGUUUCUAUAGUGCCACCAUUUCCCCCACUGACAUUGACAUGUAAAAACAGAAUCAAAAGGUGGAUUUACCUGUUACAACCCACAUAGUGAUUCAAAGCCAAGCCUAUGUCAGUUAAAUCCACUACCUAAGAACCUCUAUCCCGUCAAUAAAGGCUGCACUUUUGGCAUCCCAUAAGAAUCCUGAAUUUUAUUUACAUUUUCUCCUAAACCAAUAAUCAGUAUUAAGGCCAUUACUGAUGACGUCAAACAUCAUCAAUGAGGUUUUAGUAUUUUGAAAUCCGAUGGAACCACAAGCCUAGCCCAAUCAGUACUAUUUCAUCUGACGGCAAAGACUCCAAUCCCACUUCAUCUAUAAUAAUUCUCAAGUGAAUUGCAAGAAACACAUUGUGGCCCUUCUUCAACACUGCAAAAUAAUAGCAACACCCAAUGCCUGUUCUACAGAAAAUGAUAAGCAUAUUGUGUUAAUAGCUCUCCCAAGAAAAUAGCUUCAUAAACACAUCACAAGUAACAUGCCUAGACUGUUUUAUCUCCAAGUAGUAAAAUGCAGUUUUAUUUGUUCAGUUCACGAUAGAAAGUCCUUGAUAUACAUAUUGGCGCAUAAUUGUGUAUCUUAAAAAGAAGAGCGAAAUGCAUAAACUAGCCCUUGAACUGUUUGUAAAAAGUCCAGUGCAUCCCUGUUCUUUUAUUUUGGCCCAGUACAACACUGAAUUUUUAUUUUUGCCCUAUUACACCCUUCAAAUUUUCAUUUUUGUAACUAAUAGACAUAAUUUUUCAAAUUUAUCAUUAAAUUAUCAUGAUAUAUCUUUUUCUUUGUCAUUUUAUAAUGAACUAAACUUGAU